rnacentral:miRNA from 1 species
UGUGGGACCUCUGGCCUUGGCU